rnacentral:lncRNA from 1 species
AGUCUGGGCGCUGGAGCGGUGGGAGCAGCGCUCGUCCGCCGUUGGGGCCCCCAGCCCGCGCGCGUGAAGCAGCUAGCCGACCAAGCCCCGGAAGGCGAGUGCCGGAGGGGGCGGGACAGCUCCUCCGGGGCCAGCGGGCACCAGGCUUGGGGGCUGAGGCCCAGCGGCCCGAGACCAACUGGGCUGACCGAGGCCGCCUCCCCGCCAGCCCUGGGGUCCACUGCCCGGGGAGCAGCUCCCUUCCCAGGUCAGACUCGGGCUUCAUCCUCUCUUGCCGCGCGCCGAGCGGUUUUCAACUCUCACUGCUAGAAUUCCUCCAACCACCCAGGAUAGCAGGACCGAGAUACAUGGCCACCCAUGACCCGGAGCGUCCACUUCCAGGGACAGGCAGUGGUGAUUGGCUUCGGUUGUCAUCUGUGCCAUCUGUCCAUGGUUCGAGAAGCUGCUGUUCACGUUUUGGGGAGGAUCAUGGUUUGAGGGCUCCCGUGGUAGAAUUUGGGGAGCUCUCAUAGGCAGAAGGCUGAGAAAAGUUGGUGCUGUGGGAAGUCAACUGGCAGCCGAUGGAGUCGGGACCCGGGAGGAAUGGAAAGGGAACCCAGAUAGGAAGCUACUGCAGUAGGCUCAGAGAGGUGAUGACGGCAGGGCUAAGACAGCGGCCUUGGGCGGUGACUGGGAAGAACGUUGAACACCGUGUUUGGGCUGAAGAAAAGAGCAAGGGAAGAGGUGAGGAACUUCAGGUGAGGGUUGAUGUAGAUGUUACUUACACAGGUAACAGACAUUCUUCACCUUUUCAUUGUUUUACAAUGAUUCAUUCUCUCUCUCUCUAACAUAUAAUUGUGAUAUUUUCACCUGUAGUCCCAGCUGCUCUGGAGUUUGAGGCAGGAGGAUGGCUUGAACCCAAGAGGUGGAGGCUGAAGUGAGCCAAGAUCGCGCCACUGCACUCCAGCCUGGGCGACAGGGCAAAACCCUGUCUCUAAAAAGAACUUUUUAAAAAAGCACCUGUAGAUUUAAGCACAUAAUAACUACACUUUUGUCUGUUUUAUUAUGAUAUCAAAGUUAAAUUUAUGAUGAAUGACUAACUGGACAAAACUGAGAGCAACCACCACAGAGGUGAAUAUACUGAAUGUAUAACACUCUCUAAUAAUUUUAAGAACUCCGCUCUAAUGAGCAGAUAUCACAGAAAGAGACUUUUCAGAUGAAAUACCGAUGACCAGGAAAUCUGUGAGACCAUUUUAAAAAAUUCGAAGUCAUUGAAGAAAUGCAAAGCUUCCAGGCUCCACUUUUCACUGAUGAAAUUGGCAGAGUUUGGGACAAUGAGAUGUUGCUGUCCCGGGAGUGCGGAUGGGGCUGUGUCCUGUGAUGGCGGUGGGCACUGGCACUCUUGUCCAGAAAGACAUUCACCACUGUGGUUCAAGAAGCACCUCAAAGGUCUUCACCUUGGUCCCUUGUCCACCUCUGCCCGCGGUCUCUCCUCCUUUCAGCCUCCUCUUUCCCACACAGUCCCUCCCGCCCUGGCUUGGUCCCCUUUCUUCUGACUGGGUCAGGCAUGUGGGUGACUCUUUGACUUCCAAGGCUCUGUCUACUUGGCUUUUUUCUUUCACCUGUUCUGCAGAAUAACAGCCUGAUUCGUUCCUCUUUUUGGGUCCUUCACUUCCAUACCUGGGAUUCGGGGCGUGGCCCAGAAAGACCCUGCAGUCUUGCAGUGUGGGGCUGCCAGCAUUUCAUGGCCUCCAAGCUCAGCUGGGCUGAAUGAACGCUGCCAUCCAGCGCUUGGCUCAUUUUCUGUCCCAUUUUCCUGAGUGCUUUUGCCAGACUUACACUUUUCUGAAAGCUACUCCACCCUACCCCAGACACACCCUCUCUCCUCGGAUGACCUGCCUCCUAAUUUCCUGAGAAAACUGGACAUGGCCACCUUUCCCCAGUGUCUGAGGCCCAGGUUGACCCGUGGUCAUGGUCGCUGUCACCACCCACCUGCCUGUAUGACAGAGUGAGACCCUGUCUCAAAAAAAAAUAAAAAGAAUGCCUCAUGUUAGGCUGGGUGUAGUGGCUUAUGCCUGCAAUCCCAGCACUUUGGGAGGCUGAGGCAGGAGGAUAGUUUGAGCCCAGGAGUUCAAGGUCAACCUGGGCAAGAGAGGGAGACCCUGUCUCUACAGUUAAUUUUUAAAAAUUAAGGCAGGGCAUGAUGGCUCGUGCACGUAAUCCCAGCACUUUGGGAGGCUGAGUCAGGACGAUUGCAUGAGCCCAGGAAUUCAAGACCAGCCUGGGCAAUGUAGAGAGACCUCCAUCUCUACAAAGAAUUUUUAAAAAUUAAGGCAAGGUAUGGUGGCUGAUGCCUGUAAUCCCAGCACUUCGGGAGGAUGAGGUAGGAGGAUAGAUUCAGCCCAGGAGUUGGAGGCUGCAGUGAGCCAUAAUCACACCACUGCACUCCAGCAUGGGCAACAGCGUAAGACCCUAUCUGAAAAUACAUAAAUAAAAGAAAAAGUUAGCUAGGCGUGGUGGUGCAUUCUUGUGGUCCCAACUACUCAGGAGGCUGAGGUGGGACAAUCACCUGAGUAUGGGAAGUCAAGGGUGCAGUGAGCCAAGAUGGUGCCAUUGCACUCCAGCUUCGGUGACAGAGAGCCAGACCUUGUCACCAAAAAAACGAAAAGUCUCCUGUGAAAAAUGACAAUUUCCAGUGGAACAGUUAUGAGGAAGAGAUGGGAUCUGCCUGGGCUUUUUCAGUCUUUUGGACAAUCCAAGAUUCCUCUAGCUAAUGACUUCACAGUUGGUAACAGCUUGUUAGCUUUAUGGUGUUUCUUUAAUGUUUGUUAAAUGUUCCUGGGAUAUAGAUACCAGAUUACAAUUCACACCAGCCGGGAGGGACAAUGGAAAUUUCUUUAGGAGGCUUGCAGAUCCCUUGGACCUAGGGCACCCAACCUUUUGGGAUAUUUAGGAGAAAAAGGAGGGUUUUACUUCCGUCUUCCCUGGGGUUCCAGAUGAAUGUGUCAUCUUGGCUAGUCAUUUAGAGUCAUCUUAUGAACUCUAAAUGAAACUGAAGUCACACCUUUAACAUUACUUUAAGGAAGAAUCACAGAAGCCAACCUUAAAUCACUUAAAAUGAGAAUGAAACUUGAAGCAAUAGAUAGGAAGAACCAUUAUCUGGUCUGUCCUGCAAUUAUUGGAAGUGUUAAAGGAGAUGAAGUUUACAAUGGCUGGGAGUAAUGACUCAUGUCUCUAUUCCUCAUGCUUUGGGAGGCAGAGUGGGGAGGAUCCCUUGAAGGAGUUUGAGGCUGCAGUGAGCUAUGAUUGUGCCGCUGCACUCCAGCCUGGGUGACAGAGCAAGACACUGUCCACAUCAGAAGAGAGCCCAGCAGCUGCCCAGGCCCUGGUUGGUCCCCAUGGAUGUGGAGCUGUGGCAGGUCAUGCAGAACCAUGUGGAUUGUGCCAUCCAAGCCGGACCGUUCUUGGAUUCCUCCAUAGUGGAAAUAUGGUCGCUGACUUCUCCAAUGGGGAAAACAUUCUGUCUUCCCCCGAUUCAGAGGUGAAACCUCCUUGCCAUUCACACACUCUAGUUCAAUGGUAUCUACUCUGGCACUGCUAAUCCUCCGGAAGACGCUGUUCAAUCAAGUCUAAAUCAGCCUUCCAGUAGUUUCCAUCCAUUGGGUCUCACCAUACUUUCUCAGCGUGGGGUGGCCAUGGUUUGCUAAGCCUGUUUUUCUUUUCUUUAAAUGCAUGUAACAGCCUUUCUGAAGAUCUUUUUUUUUUUUUUACAUUUGCUGUCUGGUACUCAUUUGGAGGCCCGGAGUCCAGCAGAGUUCCUUUCCAUGUUUUCUGCAGUCCUUCAGCGGGGUCUGCACACCUGAUGGCCUGGAAUUGGGCUGGCCCUCGGCAAUCCUGCCCACCCUGUGGGCAAGUAAGUUUGCUCACAGACUUCAGUAGGCCCCGUGUACCUGAGCUUCAAUGGGGUGGGGUUCUCCCCCAGCCAUGUCAGCUGUGUCUGCUCCUCCCUGCUCUCUCUUCCCUCUCUUCUCCCUGCCCUGAGUGCCCUUGUAAUAUCCAGUCUCCGGGUUUCCAACUCAUCUAGUAGGUCUCAGAAGCCAUCACCAGUUUCAGGAUCUCUUUCUGGUACCCUGGGUUUGUGUUCAGGGCCCCUCCUGUCAUGUCUGUAAUGCUCAACAAUUUAAUGAGCUUCUCUGUGCCUAGGUUUCUAAUCUUUAAAAUGGGUAUAAUAGUAGUAUCAGUCUCAUAGUUGUCUUGAGGAUUAGGUGGGUUAAUAUUUGUAAAGCAUGUAUCAGGUAGGUUAAGGACAGGGUACCUGAAGUAAUACUGCCGAGAUUCAGAGCAGAGCCAGGAAACCUUGGGCAAGUCACUUCUCUGUGCCACAUCUUAUCCACAUCUCUGUAACAUGAGGAUGAUAAUAUAGAGUUAUUGUAAACUUUUAGGCAACUAUUUCUUGCAAAGCACCUGGAACAGUGGCAGGCUCUUAUUGAUAAGGGCUCAAUAAACGUGAGCCGUGGUGAUGGUGACAACCUGGGGGGACCCUGCACUUCCCUGUGGGGUCGCCAUUGUGCUGGAGUCUAAUGGCUUAUUUUCCUCGAUAGUUCUCAAGUGCUGUCAGAGCAGGGGAUGGUCAUCAGUAUCCUGACUUCUCUUUUGCUUGAGCUCCUGGAUGGUAUCUGGUGUUUGUAGUUUGUAGAUUUCAUUUUCAUCAAAGCUAAUUGUUCCUUCUACUUUAGAAGUCUGAGCAAUAUGCCUUCAGUGGCCAACUGGAAACUUGUGUUUUAAAACUUCAUUGGACUAUCUAUUUAUUGCUGUGAUGAAAUUAUGUCACAAAAACCCAUGUACUCAUCGUGGAACACGGAAGCAUGAUGGGUACCACCCGAAUGGAGGGGAUGCAGUGUGGAUGGGAACCUCUGGCCUCCCUGAAUGUGUUGACUUCAGGACUCGCUGCCGGUCCUGCAGCCGAUCCUGCAAUGCUUGCUUUGUUGCUUUAGGAACGCUCAUUUCUGCCUUUCUGUUGUAAUUGAUGCCAAUAGCUGCCAGUCCUAAAACACAUCCUGCAGUGCUUGCUUUCUUGGUUUAGGAAUGCUCAUUUCUGCCUUUCUGUUGUAAUUGAUGCCAAUAGCUGCCAGUCCUAAAACACAUCCUGCAGUGCUUGCUUUCUUGCUUUAGGAACGCUCAUUUCUGCCUUUCUGCUGUAAUUGAAGCCAAUAGCUGCCAGUCCUGCAAUGCAUCCUGCAGUGCUUGCUUUCUUGCUUUAGGAAUGCUCAUUUCUGCCUUUCUGUUGUAAUUGAUGCCAAUAGCUGCCAGUCCUAAAACGCAUCCUGCAGUGCUUGCUUUCUUGCUUUAGGAACGCUCAUUUCUGCCUUUCUGUUGUAAUUGAUGCCAAUAGCUGCCAGUCCUAAAACGCAUCCUGCAGUGCUUGCUUUCUUGCUUUAGGAACGCUCAUUUCUGCCUUUCUGUUGUAAUUGAUGCCAAUAGCUGCCGGUCCUGCAACCGAUCCUGCAGUGCUUGCUUUCUUGCUUCAGGAACGCUCAUUUCUGCCUUUCUGUUGUAAUUGAUGCCAAUAACUUGUAGUUUGCUGCCAUAUCUGAAGCUCUGAUGCUUCCUACGUAUCUCUGAGGUCACUACAAAGAUUUUGAAGUCCCUCAUUCUCUGAUAUUAAGAAUUUCAUACUGGCUUCAGUCUCCUUUAUCUCACCGUUAGGGAACUCUUCCCCUUUUCUGUGCCAUUUAUGAGCACACUUGAGAUGUGGCCACAUUGCUGCCCACUUGCUCCAAGGAACAGCUUAAGCCAGAGUCAAGGCCACCAAACCAGGAAGACAUCCCUAUUGUUCAUAGAAGUCAUCUGGUUGGCUCCAAGUAAAACAUCCAGCGCAGUUGGAUCUGACUUUAGUCUGGAGGUCCUGUCUCUAAAACAAAGGAGAGAAACUCGCAAUGAGAUGCUUCUAGGCAGCGCCUGCUCAGAGGCCCACCCAGGGUAGGGCACUGCCGGGAAACGCAGAGGCCUGGCCUAGAGCCUCAUUAGGGCUGGUCUUCGGUGACAGCCCUAAUAACAGGGCAGGCCUCUGUUCUUCCCUACACCUUCCUCAUCUCUGGGUUGGCCUCGUCUCCCUCUGCAUUAGUGAUUUUCCCCAGCGCCAUGCGUGGCUCCUGCCAGCCUGAUGCUGGCCACCAGGACACCGGCUCCAAAACAGCCACCCCCAAAUGCCUUUUCCUGAGUGUGCAUGAGUGCGUGUGUCAGGGAGAAUGCUCAUACCCUUCAGUUUUUUACCAAGUGGUAACAUACAGUACCUAUGUAUCCUGCAGCUUGUGGUUUUCACACAAUUGCUUUUUUAAAUGCAGGUAAAAAUUAUACAGUGAAACACAUUCAUCUUGAGUACAAAUCAGUGGGUUAUGACAAAUGUCUGCAUCUGUGCCUAAGCAGUACCCUGAGGAGGACACUGAACGUUUCCAUCAUCCAAAAAGUUCCCCAUGCUGUUUGCCAUUCGCCCUCACCCUCCGGCCCCAGCAAGCCCUGUUGAGUCUCAUCGGAGUUCCUUCCUCCACCAAGGGAUAGAAACUCACCUGAUUGCUGCAUGCAGACACUGACACUCCCGACCCCUCAUUCGUCACAAUUGAUGCCUUACUCCUGCCUGAUUGCUGUCUUCCUGCUCAUAAUUAAAUUCCUUCCCCCCGCUAUAUAAUGCCUCCGGCUUUAGUCAGCUGGAGAGAGGGAUUUGAGACUGAUCUCCUGUUCUCUUGGGCUGAUGUCAACCAUAAUAUAAUAAAGUUUUCUUCCCCGGCAUUACUUUUCUUAAUGAUUGGCUUUCUGUGCAGAACCUAUACUGAACCUAUACUGAACCCCUGGCAUUUCGGUAACAGAUUUUGGUCCACUAAUCAGGAAUGGGUUGCCUCUGGCUGGUGGCCACAGAUGGGGAGAGUCUCAGAGGCCCUCCUAAGCAGCUGCCUGACCUUUUUUUGGCCAAAGGUGGAUUUCUGUCUGUCUCUCUUUGUCCCCACUGCUGCUGACUCUAACUGUGUUCCUGAUUUGUCUAGGAAGAGCAGCCUUUGAAAUGUGACAUAUGCAUCUGACCGGUGUCUUUUGUGGGUACCAGAUGGCAGGAUCUGCUUCUCUCAAUUUGGGUGGGGAAUUGUGAAGGAAUUUGCAUUUGCAGGUUGAACAAGCCCAGCUGACUGUGAGAGGAAAGCACCUCAACUGUUUUGGCUUGGAUGGUCUUGGGGGCUUGUUAGUCGCUACUGUGG